rnacentral:tRNA from 1 species
AAGGGUAUAGCUCAAGCGGUAGAGUACAUGCUUAGCAUGCACAAGGUCUGGGUUCAGUCCCCAGUACCUCCU